AGCUUUGCGCAGUGGCAAUAUCGUAGCCAGUGAGGUUUAUCCGAGGCGCGAUUAUUGCUAAUUGAAAGACUAAGUUGAUCAAAAAUCACAACUUGGUCAGUUUACAAAAAAAGAUUUUGUACACUGAGUUAAUAUAUCAUCAUCCUGAU
rnacentral:snRNA from 1 species